CUAAUUACUGUACAUUACACAUGUCUACUGUUUUAUAUACAUGGCAGAUAAAUAAAACUGUAUUUUAUAAAAUUCUUAAGGUUAUAGUGAUAAAGAUUAUUCAAACAAAGGAAGGAGGGAUAAAGGAAGAACUCUGUCUUCAAGAACAACCAUUAAAACUUACUCUUUCUAAUCAAAAUAAAAAAAAAUCCAUCAAAGGUGCACUCUGAGAUUAGGUUAUGAAAUAUGGAGGUUCCUGAGAAUUUCAUUCAUAUAUAUUUCAUAAGGAGAUGUGGUACAAAUGCCAAGGAAGCUACUUUCCACAAGAAAUCAAAUGGCACAGAAAUAAUCAACAAUAGGUCACUGUACAACCUUCAUCAAUGAGUAACCCAAACCAGUCAGUUAUAAAAGUUCCCAAAUGACAAAUGUAAAACAAUUAAAACAAUGUUCCAUAGUUACAGAGAUGUAGAAAUUUUGAGAUUUGAAUAACAAACAAAUGAAUAAAUGAGUGGAUAAAAGGAUCACUGUUAGAAAAACAAAUAAUUUUAUUAAAUAAAUUUUAAAAAUUAAAAAAUAUAAAAUCCUACUUUGAUCAUUUUUAAAUCAUGAGGUAUAUUAGAAAGAUUGCACCGAAAUAUAAAUAUAAAUAAGAAGGGCAUUUAAUAUUAUAAGAUAAUAAAUCUAUUGGAUUUGACUCAUGAAAAAGAACAAAGGGCACAUUAAAAUAAAAAAACAAACAUCAACACAUAACAAGACAGACAUUGUUCUACAACCCUUCCCCCAUCAUACAAACAAUAAAUCUAUUAUUCAAAGUGCUGAGAAAUUUUCUUUAGACCUCUUGAAAGAAUAGAGGGUUGAGAUUUAAAAAUCAACAAGAGUGCACACGCUGAAAUGUCUCGCCUUCUUUACUUAUCAUUGAUAUUAUGUUGAUAGUCCUAAGUAUAAAGCUUUAUUAAAGACUGUCACAUAAACUUAACAUUAACCAAGAUAACAAAACAAAGACCAAUGAACCAUGAAAAUGAGUUCAAGGUCAGAUGAACCAUGCCAGGCAGACAUGUACAGCUAACAAUGCUUCCAUACAACAAAUAUAGUUGACCUAUUACUUAUAGUUUAAAAAAAAUAGACCAAAACACAAAAACUUAACACUGAGCAAUGAACCAUGAAAAUGAGGUCA
rnacentral:lncRNA from 1 species